GACGAACCGUGCAAACGUUGUUCGGAAUCACUGGGCUUAAAGGGCGCGUAGGCGGGCCAGCCAGUCUGUGGUGAAAGCCUCCAGCUUAACUGGAGAAGUGCCGUGGAUACUGCUGGCCUCGAGGAGGAUAGGGGCAUCUGGAACGGUCGGUGGAGCGGUGAAAUGCGUUGAUAUCGACCGGAACUCCGGUGGCGAAGGCGAGGUGCUGGGUCCUUUCUGACGCUGAUGCGCGAAAGCCAGGGGAGCAAACGGG
rnacentral:rRNA from 3 species